CCAAUAGCGUAUAUUAAAGUUGUUGCAGUUAAAAAGCUCGUAGUUGAACUUCGGGGUCUACCCAUUGGUCAGGCUUAAUUGUCUGCACUGGUGAGAUGGAUCUCUACCUUCUGAGGAACUUUCAUGCCAUUUAUUUGGUGUGAUUGGAAAUCAGGACUGUUACUUUGAAAAAAUUAGAGUGUUUAAAGCAGACUAUCGUCUGAAUACAUUAGCAUGGAAUAAUGAAAUAGGACGGACUGAUUCUAUUUCGUUGGUUUCUAGGAUCACCGUAAUGAUUAAUAGGGAUAGUUGGGGGCAUUAGUAUUCAAUUGUCAGAGGUGAAAUUCUUGGAUUUAUUGAAGACUAACUACUGCGAAAGCAUUUGCUAAGGAUGUUUUCAUUAAUCAAGAACGAAAGUUAGGGGAUCGAAGACGAUCAGAUACCGUCGUAGUCUUAACCAUAAACUAUGCCGACUAGGGAUCGGACGAAGUUAAUUUUAUAAUGACGCGUUCGGCACCUUACG
rnacentral:rRNA from 1 species